rnacentral:rRNA from 1 species
CCUUCCGUAGGGGUGACUGCGGAAGGAUCAUUAACGCG